GGGGGUUUGGGGUAGUGUAGUGGUCAAGGCUGCACUCUGGCGCUGUGAAGGCGUGGGUUCGAAUCCCACAGCCCUCU
rnacentral:tRNA from 1 species